GACGAGCGCUGGUGGCGUGCUUAACACAUGCAAGUCGAACGGAAAGGCCCUGCUUUUGUGGGGUGCUCGAGUGGCGAACGGGUGAGUAACACGUGAGUAACCUGCCCUUGACUUUGGGAUAACUUCAGGAAACUGGGGCUAAUACCGGAUAGGAGCUCCUGCUGCAUGGUGGGGGUUGGAAAGUUUCGGCGGUUGGGGAUGGACUCGCGGCUUAUCAGCUUGUUGGUGGGGUAGUGGCUUACCAAGGCUUUGACGGGUAGCCGGCCUGAGAGGGUGACCGGCCACAUUGGGACUGAGAUACGGCCCAGACUCCUACGGGAGGCAGCAGUGGGGAAUAUUGCACAAUGGGCGGAAGCCUGAUGCAGCAACGCCGCGUGCGGGAUGACGGCCUUCGGGUUGUAAACCGCUUUCGCCUGUGACGAAGCGUGAGUGACGGUAAUGGGUAAAGAAGCACCGGCUAACUACGUG
rnacentral:rRNA from 1 species